rnacentral:rRNA from 1 species
CUUGGUCAUUUAGAGGAAGUAAAAGUCGUAACAAGGUCUCCGUAGGUGAACCUGCGGAGGGAUCAUUACCGAGCGAGGGCCCCCGGCCCGACCUCCAACCCUGUUAUCAAAACCACUGUUGCCUCGGGGGUGACCCGGGCCCGUCGGCUCGGGGCCCCCGACGGACAAUUUCAAACACUGCAUCUUUGCGUCGGAUUACAAAGUUUAAUGAAUUAAAACUUUCAACAACGGAUCUCUUGGUUCUGGCAUCGAUGAAGAACGCAGCGAAAUGCGAUAAGUAAUGUGAAUUGCAGAAUUCAGUGAAUCAUCGAGUUUUUGAACGCACACUGCGCCCCUUGGUAUUCCGGGGGGCAUGCCCGUUCGAGCGUCAUUUCACCAAUCAAGCCUGGCUUGGUAUUGGGCCACGGGGGCGACCCGGGCCUCAAAGUUCGCCGGCUGGAAAGCUCUGAUCUCAGCGUCGUGAUCAUCAAUUCGCUACGGAGAGGAGCGGUCUGCGCCGUGAAAUCUAUCACAGGUUGACCUCGGAUCGGGUAGGAAUACCCGCUGAACUUAAGCAUAUCAAUAAGCGGAGGA